UACGGGAGGCAGCAGUAGGGAAUCUUCCGCAAUGGACGAAAGUCUGACGGAGCAACGCCGCGUGAGCGAUGAAGGCCUUCGGGUCGUAAAGCUCUGUUGUUAGGGAAGAACAAGUAUCGGAGUAACUGCCGGUACCUUGACGGUACCUAACCAGAAAGCCACGGCUAACUACG
rnacentral:rRNA from 1 species